AGAGAAAAGUUCCAUCGAAACAAAUCGAUUUAGCAGUCUCGCAAAAGAAGUAAAUGAACUGCACCGUAAGAAUACAACAGUUCAAAAAAAAUCGCGCAAGAUAUCAUAGAAGAACUCUCCAAUUUAACGGAUAGUUCCAACGAAAAUGGAGAGAAACAAAUUUUGAGUCCUCACAUUCUAAAUCAGACCGUUGAAAUACUUCGGAAAAUCAUUAAUUUGAAUAUUUCUGAUGGCAGUAUCAAGAUAUUGGGUCCUGCAAGUAAUAUAUUGGAUGACGUAAAUAGGAAAUCGUGGAGAAAAUUGACGGACGGGAAGUUGAUCCGUAAUCUGGCGAUAAUGUUGCAAAAGUAUGGACUGCAAUAUGGAGAGAAUUUGAAGAACAACCAAUCUAUCUCGACUAUAUUCAACAAUCA